rnacentral:rRNA from 1 species
UACGGAGGAUGCAAGCGUUAUCCGGAUUUAUUGGGUUUAAAGGGUGCGUAGGCGGCUUUUUAAGUCAGCGGUGAAAUUUUGCAGCUUAACUGUAACAGUGCCGUUGAUACUGGGGAGCUAGGAUUUGGUUGCUGUGGGUGGAAUGUGUGGUGUAGCGGUGAAAUGCUUAGAUAUCACACAGAAUAUCGAUUGCGAAGGCAGCUCACAAAGCCAAGAUUGACGCUGAGGCACGAAAGUGUGGGGAUCAAACAGGA